ACGAUAGUAGAGGGGCAUUAUAUUUUCUGGUCUGUGCGUCCGUUCGUUCGUCCGUCCGUCCGUUCGUUCGUUCGUCCGUCUGUCCCGCUUCAGGUUAAAGUUUUUGGUCGAGGUAGUUUUUGAUGAAGUUGAAGUCCAAUCGACUUCAAACUUGGUACACUUGUUCCCUAUGAUAUGAUCUUUCUAAUUUUAAUGCCAAAUUAGAGAUUUUACCCCAAUUUCACGGUCCACUGAACAUAGAAAAUGAUAGUGCGAGUGGGGCAUUCGUGUACUGAGGACACAUUCUUGUUUUUCAUAUAAAAUAACUU
rnacentral:lncRNA from 1 species